UAAAAGACCAGUUGAAGAACAGCCAAAACCUGUCUCUGCUCACGUUGCUCUCAAGGUUGCCACGUCCACCUGACGUGCAUCUGCAUCCUGCUGCCCUGAGAUGUUGCUAAGUGACCAGCAACCAGGCUCAAAAGCUACAACGCCUGCUGCUGCAGUGCAAAAAUAAACAGUUCAGAACGCCAGUUUGGAACCAGUAUCAGGAAGCAGUUGGAUUUUCUGAUGCAAAGGGGAUUUUUGCUUCUGCCUGAGAACAGCCGAGAUUAUGUCAUAAGAAAGGGGCAGAAGAAGCAUCACCAACUCUAAGGAACCAAAGUCUCUCCAGCCACCAAAAUGAAUGCAGCUGCCACUUAGGGGAAGUGGACAAGGACAGAACCACCCAGAGAUGAUGGUGAGAAAAGGCAGAAGGCCUGGGAGCUGGAAAAUGACUCCAUGGAGUAAAAGAUCACAGCAUCCUUUGGGACAAGACCGAUGUUCAUGACAAGGGACACUGUGGACAGCGGUUUACUGAGUCAAACAUCUCAGGAGCAGAAUGUUGAAUGCCACCCUCUCCUCAAGAUGGCAUAGUAGAGCAUGUGUGCAUGUAAUUAUUUUCACUAAACACUAUAUAUGUUCUAAAUUUGUUUGCACUUGAAAUAGGAAUGCUUUACUUUUAAUAAGGUCUCAGGA
rnacentral:lncRNA from 1 species